AAAAUGUUGAAUAUCAACAAUGAGUUUCAGUGCUGUAUUGUUGAGUUUUGUAUGAACUAAUCUUGCCUCACUAAAAAAGACCUACAGCUUGGACAAAAGUCUAUAGCCAGUGCAUUCCUAGCUCCCCUUGCACUAAGGCAGGCUGAGGCAGAGGGGAAGACAUUUUAGUCUUGUGCUCUUCUAGUUGCUAAAGCGCUGGGCUGCCGGGCUGUGGGAGUCAUGAGGCGGCCCUGCUUCACUCGAUAUGGACUCAGGGGGAGAGAACCAUGGAUGUGCAGGUCUAGGCCCUUAGAGCAGUGAGGGGGAAAGGGGUAACGAGCGAAACACCAGCGUUCAGCGAGCAGCUUGAGCGGCGGUACGCUGAAGUAAGAGCACUGGCUUUUGGAAAAACCUGCAGACUACGGGGCGAGUAAAGAGAGAGAGACAGCCUACCGCUGUUUCGGUCGAGCAGAGAGCGGGAUCUCCGGCGGCUGAAGAGUGGUUCUUGAAUCGGCCAGAUACUGUUCCAUCCUCUUUUCUGCCAAUCAAGCAAAGAUGAGGACAACACCCAAACUGGCACGAUAACAGCGCCGUAUUCGAAGAGGACCCAAUUGUUCCAAAAGGCCUUGAUUUUGCUCCGCCGCGGUCCGCGCGGAGGCUGCCGCAGCUGUGGACAGCAACAGGUGUUUUACCUACCAUGGUUGUGAUAAUUGGAUUUUCUGGACACCUGUAUGAGUGCAGUAUAUCCAGCGGAUUAUAACCAGGGAGAGGGUGUCCUUCUGAUGUUCUUGAUGCACAUCCAAGGGUACUCGUCCGUUGAUGGGUGAUGGAGAUGGAGUUCCUUCUGCUAUAACUCUGGCCUCCAAGAACAGCUUCAAAGACAGGACCUAAGGAGAGAUCAGUCACGCAAAACACAUCUACACACCACUGCUUCUGCUGCAAAUGUGAGGGCAUGAUCUGUCUCUGUGAAGACAAAACUUGCACCUUGUAAAAUUCUCAGAACAUGGUUCAUUUUGAAACUGUUACAACUGAAACAACAAAACUUUUUACCAAUAGAGGUUACGCUGCUUAUGAUAUGAACUAUAUCGUCCGUUGAUGUAUUGGAUUUCAUGAUGUUACAUAUCUUCAAUCUGUGAUCAUAUUAAAUCAAUGAAAUCAUGGUGUGCUGUGUCUUCGGUAGAAACACACUGAGUUUUCAAAACAUUAAUAAUAUUGAGCUGUAC
rnacentral:lncRNA from 1 species